GAUGAACGCUGGCGGCGUGCCUAACACAUGCAAGUCGAGCGAACCCUUCGGGGUGAGCGGCGGACGGGUGAGUAACGCGUGGGUAACCUGCCCUGUACACACGGAUAACAUACCGAAAGGUAUGCUAAUACGAGAUAACAUGUAAUGAUCGCAUGGUCGAUACAUCAAAGCUCCGGCGGUACAGGAUGGACCCGCGUCUGAUUAGCUAGUUGGUGAGGUAAUGGCUCACCAAGGCGACGAUCAGUAGCCGACCUGAGAGGGUGAUCGGCCACAUUGGAACUGAGACACGGUCCAAACUCCUACGGGAGGCAGCAGUGGGGAAUAUUGCACAAUGGGCGAAAGCCUGAUGCAGCAACGCCGCGUGAGCGAUGAAGGCCUUCGGGUCGUAAAGCUCUGUCCUCAAGGAAGAUAAUGACGGUACUUGAGGAGGAAGCCCCGGCUAACUACGUGCCAGCCGCCGCCGUAA
rnacentral:rRNA from 1 species